ACCCACAUAGUUCAGUUGGUAGAGCAUGAGACUCUUAAUCUCAAGACUGUGGGUUUGAGCCUCAUGCUGGGCA
rnacentral:tRNA from 1 species